AGUGAACGCUGGCGGUAGGCCUAACACAUGCAAGUCGAACGGCAGCACAGUAAGAGCUUGCUCUUACGGGUGGCGAGUGGCGGACGGGUGAGGAAUACAUCGGAAUCUACUUUUUCGUGGGGGACAACGUAGGGAAACUUACGCUAAUACCGCAUACGACCUACGGGUGAAAGCAGGGGAUCUUCGGACCUUGCGCGAUUGAAUGAGCCGAUGUCGGAUUAGCUAGUUGGCAGGGUAAAGGCCCACCAAGGCAACGAUCCGUAGCUGGUCUGAGAGGAUGAUCGGCCACACUGGAACUGAGACACGGUCCAGACUCCUACGGGAGGCAGCAGUGGGGAAUAUUGGGCAAUGGGCGCAAGCCUGAUCCAGCCAUACCGCGUGAGUGAAGAAGGCCUUCGGGUUGUAAAGCCCUGUUGUUGGGAAAGAAAAGCAGCAGGUUAAUACCCCGAUGUUCUGACGGUACCCAAAGAAUAAGCACCGGCUAACUUCGUG
rnacentral:rRNA from 1 species